AGAAAGGAGGAGGAGGAGAAAGGAGGAGGAGGAGAAAGGAGGAGGAGGAGAAAGGAGGAGGAGGAGAAAGGAGGAGGAGAAAGGAGGAGAGGGAGAGGGAGGGGGAGAAGGGGAAGGAGAGGAAGGAGAGGAAGAAGAGGAAGAAGAAGAAAGUAGUAGUUGAAAUUGUUGUUUUGUAGCAUCUACAACUUAGUCCUGAUGAAAGAGAGCCCAGACUGACGGGCAGCUGGUGUGGGCAGCUCCAUCCCUGAGGCUUUCAGGAAAGAAGCAAGGAUCACAAGAAGCCUACCCAGCUGAACCCAGAAUGGAGGAGAGAGGGUGGAGUAUAACUGGCGGGCAGCCCCACAUUCCCUGGCACAGAAUAAUUCAAGUAGGCUGACAAGGAAAGCCACUCCUUAAUGUCACUCUUCUCUACCCAAAUUCCUUACUUUUACCCUGUUGGCCAGAACCCACUUUCACUUCCAUACUUACCUGCCCUCCUUCCUUUCCUGAAACCCCUUCUUCAGGCCAGUUAUGGUCUCUAUUUUCCCUAGGCUCAUCACGGAAUGUCUCAAGAAGAUCAGAUAGUGGGCAUGGGCUCAGCUUUCUGGAGCGCUCUUGCACGACUUCCUGACCUUCUCUCAAUAGAAAUCUGAGCCAUAGAGCUCUACUGAGUAAAGCAGGGGCCAGGAAAAGCCAAGGUCAAAGACCAUCGCAGGUGGCUUCCCUCUAGCCCAGGAACAGUGCCCUCUCCUAAGCUGCAUGGCUGGGCUCAUAAAAUCUCAUCCCCACCCCAGAAGUAAAGAUCCCAAGGUCAGGUUGAGUCAGCUGAGGAUGAGACAGCCCUGCCACCUUAGAUAUGAAGGCCAGCACCCUGGUCCCCUCACGGUGUGCACGACUGGCUGAAUCAGCCUCAGGAGGCCCUCUGUGAGGGCGGUAUCUAAUUUUGUGCUGUGUUGCAUAUUCAGUGUGUGCUUAGUUUUAAUAACAGUAAUGAAAAUAAAUAGAACCCAGGUCCCCCAGUGCUUGAUCCAGCCCUCUUUUCACCAGAUGGGCUCCUUCUGUCUUGCCUAUAAAAAAUGUCACUAAAAAUAUCUCUCUUUUGAGUCUCUACCUUGCUCCGUAGGAGGUGACCACAUUAGGACAGCCAAGAGGCAAUGUCGUAGCUCAGCCAAUGGCCAGCAUCCUCCCGUGAAGGCUGAGCCUCUUGGGCAUUUUUUGCCUGCCUGUGGGGCACAGUGAGAAGCUGGAAAAUACCUCCCAGGCAUCAAAUGCUAUGAGAUGCUGAGCUCAGAGAGAGCUGUAGCAAAUCCUGGGGCAGAGUGACUCCUCACAAACACCUUCUCCUACAAAAGAGGACACCUACAGUCCCAUCUCACAAGAUGCAUCUCCUGCAGUCUCUGUGACCCAUCCCAGGAAGCUUCAGGAAGGGCUGCUGAAGAAAGGAAAGGGUGGAAGGAGCCACUAACCAGGCUAGGUAGAGCCAGCAAAAUCGACCUGCACAGUCCACGCAGGACCACCUUCAUGACCACAUGCCUGGACCUCCACCCCUGCCACCUUUUCUUACCUUGGGGGCACUGUGAACAGGUUCUCACUAGGAGCACACACCAGCACUGCACAGGGCCCACUCCACCCUCCAAACCCCGGGCUGAGAAGGAGGCUGUAGGGGGAGACAAGAUUCUAUGGCUCUGCACGCCUGUCAGCAGGUGAAACCCAAGGAAACACCUGACAGGGAGCCCUGAGACCUUCAACACCUGGCCACGCUGAAGUGCUGGGAGCAGGCACCGGAGAAGAGCUGGGAGAGCCAAGAGAAGAUCAGAGUGUAUCUGCUAAAAAGGUGGGCCCCAUCCAAUCAGUUGAAGUCCUGACUGGAACAAAAGACUGACCUCCCUUGAGAAAGUGGGAAUUCUGCCAGCAGACAGCCUUCAGACUUGAACUGCAAUGUUGCCUCCUCCCUGGGUCUCCAGCCUGCCAGCCAACCCUGCAGAUUUUCGACUUGCCAGCCUCCAUAAUCGUUCUUGUCAAUGAGGUCGGCCAGCAGCUGCUUCAGCACAUCAGUGGCGUACUCCAGCUUGC
rnacentral:lncRNA from 1 species